rnacentral:rRNA from 1 species
AUGGGGGAAACCCUGAUGCAGCAACGCCGCGUGAGUGAUGAAGGCCUUCGGGUUGUAAAGCUCUGUCUUCAGGGACGAUAAUGACGGUACCUGAGGAGGAAGCCACGGCUAACUACGUGCCAGCAGCCGCGGUAAUACGUAGGUGGCAAGCGUUGUCCGGAUUUACUGGGCGUAAAGGGAGCGUAGGCGGAUACUUAAGCGGGAUGUGAAAUACCUGGGCUUAACUUGGGUGCUGCAUUCCAAACUGGGUGUCUAGAGUGUUGGAGAGGAAAGUGGAAUUCCUAGUGUAGCGGUGAAAUGCGUAGAGAUUAGGAAGAACACCAGUGGCGAAGGCGACUUUCUGGACAAUAACUGACGCUGAGGCUCGAAAGCGUGGGGAGCAAACAGGAUUAGAUACCCUGGUAGUCCACGCCGUAAACGAUGGGUACUAGGUGUAGGGGGUAUCGACUCCCCCUGUGCCGCCGUUAACACAAUAAGUACCCCGCCUGGGGAGUA